UUCAGAUCAGAAAAAAAAUGU
ensembl:piRNA 21ur-1262 ncRNA